CAGAAUGACUCAGAUGGCGAUUCAGAAGAGUCUGAGGAAGAAGUUACAUGAAGGGUUUCCAACCUGCCUAAGAAAAAGAGAGUGAAGCGCUAUGUCCUGCAAAGACAGAAACAGAUAGAGAGCUCGUCUGAAGGAGAUGGGACAUACGAUUGGGAGGUUAAGCGGCCCAUCCUGAAACGCUGGAAACAGAUGGAGAGCUCAUCUAAUAAUGAUGUGAUCAAGUCAGGGAAAUAUGUACCAAAUGAAAGAGAAGAUUCAAAAGAGAACCAGAGAAAGGAAGACAUGAUGCAAGAACAGGAUGAGAAAGCACUGAUGAGCCCAUCUCGAGUCCUACCACUGAAUACAGCCAGCGUUACACUGGAUCUUGUCACUCUGAAGGCACCUAUAU